GAUGAACGCUAGCGGCAGGCCUAAUACAUGCAAGUCGAACGAUACCAGAGAGCUUGCUUUCUGGGAAAGUGGCGCACGGGUGCGUAACGCGUAUGCAACCUACCUUAAUCAGGGGGAUAGCCUCUCGAAAGAGAGAUUAACACCGCAUAACAUUAUGAUAUGGCAUCAUAUUAUAAUCAAAUAUUUAUAGGAUUAAGAUGGGCAUGCGUGACAUUAGCUAGUUGGUGAGGUAACGGCUCACCAAGGCUACGAUGUCUAGGGGAUCUGAGAGGAUGACCCCCCACACUGGUACUGAGACACGGACCAGACUCCUACGGGAGGCAGCGGUAAGGAAUAUUGGUCAAUGGAGGCAACUCUGAACCAGCCAUGCCGCGUGCAGGAAGACGGCCCUAUGGGUUGUAAACUGCUUUUAUACGGGAAUAAACCUCUCUACGUGUAGAGAGUUGAAUGUACUGUAAGAAUAAGGAUCGGCUAACUCCGUGCCAGCCGCCGCGGUAACAC
rnacentral:rRNA from 1 species